GAACGUUAGCGGCGGGCCUAACACAUGCAAGUCGAACGAGAACGCUCCUUCGGGAGUUAUUAAAGUGGCGCACGGGUGAGGAACGCGUAGGUAAUCUACCCUUUGGCGGGGGACAACAUUCCGAAAGGAAUGCUAAUACCGCGUAAGACCACACUCACCACGGUGAGAGCGGUUAAAGGUGCCCUUAAAGCACCACCGGAGGAUGAGCCUGCGUCCCAUCAGCUUGUUGGUAAGGUAAUGGCUUACCAAGGCUAAGACGGGUAGCUGGUCUGAGAGGAUGAUCAGCCACACUGGCACUGGAACACGGGCCAGACUCCUACGGGAGGCAGCAGUGAGGAAUAUUGGGCAAUGGGCGAAAGCCUGACCCAGCCACGCCGCGUGUGUGAUGAAGGCCUUCGGGUCGUAAAGCACUGUGGGGAGAGACGAAAAAGCGCAUCAGGAAAUGGUUGCGCCUUGACGGUACCUCCUUAGCAAGCACCGGCUAACUCUGUGCCAGCAGCCGCGGUAAUACAGAGGGUGCGAACGUUGCUCGGAUUUACUGGGCGUAAAGCGCGUGUAGGCGGACUCGCAAGUCGGUUGUGAAAUCCCUGGGCUUAACCUAGGAACUGCAUCCGAAACUGCUUGUCUUGAGUAAUGGAGAGGGUGGCGGAAUUCCCGGUGUAGAGGUGAAAUUCGUAGAUAUCGGGAGGAACACCAGUGGCGAAGGCGGCCACCUGGACAUUUACUGACGCUGAGACGCGAAAGCGUGGGGAGCAAACAGGAUUAGAUACCCUG
rnacentral:rRNA from 1 species